GAGUUAUAGAUGGGGCAGUGCGGGAGAGAGCUUCGAUGGCUCCCCGACCCCAAAAGUGCUUCUGAAUGGCAGUGGAGUCCAAUCAAUUGCUGAUGAUUUUGGGAUUUCGUUACAGACUAUGUGGUCAGUUAUUGAGAUUUCAGCGUCUUCCAUUACAAUUGUGUAUUUCCUUAUCUCUUUAGCCAUGUUGCAUUGGAUUUUGCUGCCUUUAUUUUGAGGGCAUGGCAGUGGUCUCUUCUAGCUCGACCACCUCACCUGCUGUCACAUUGUGCACCUCGGGCCACCAUUUACCUAACCCCUGGCCUGGACCAGCUGUGGCCGGCACCCUCUGUGGGGCUUCAGUUUCACCUCCGGCAUUGGGAGCGAGACUUUCCCUCCAUUAGUUCUUCCCUGAGUCUCGACUGGACCUCUGGGUCAAUUGAGGGUAACCGUAAACACUCUGGGUCAGGUGUUUGGGUGUGUGUAUGUAUUUGUGUGUGUCUGUAUGUGUGUGUUUAUGUGAUUUUUACUCAUUAAUUAGUAGGCAGAACAGAGAGUGGGAGCUGGAGAUCUGCUGUCCAGUGGCUCUUUCCUCAAAUGGCUGCCGUUGGCAGCGCUGGCCCAGACAGAAGCCAGGAGCCAGGGACUCCAUCCAGGUCUCCCAUGAGGGUGGCUGUGGCCCAAGUACUUGGGCCAUCACCUGCUUCCUGCGUGGUUCACAAGUGUGGAGCAUUGGGACCGGAAGUGUCGCUGGUAUGUUGGACGAUUAUCUUUGUGAGUCUCCAUUCUUUCAGGUCUUUGUCAAGGGCUCAUUCCCAGUGCACGGUAGUCUCUGGCUGCAUUCUUGAUGUAUUGGAGUAGCUGUGCCGUGUGCAUUGAAGUCCAGAUACUCUGUGACUGACUGUGCACUGGAAUGCUGACCGCAGCACCUGACCCCCCCCCCCCAUUCUUCUCUUGGAAGUGCACCUGCAGGGGCUGUGGCGUAGGCUGCACGUGUUCAUCUCUGGUGCUGCUUUCUCAGGCAUGGGUGCUGCUGUGUUUCCCCAUCAGUACUGUGUGCGUCCUGAUGCUUCCUGUCCACAAGAGCUGGCCCUGGCUGUCCAUGGCCUUUCCACUCUUCCAGUGAGUUGUGAUGGAAGCCACUGGUAGUUGUCACACAGCCACUGUGUGAGUGGAUGCUUUAUUAUUAUUUUUUAAACAUUUAUUUAGUUAGUUCACAGAGUUACACAAAGAGAGAAGAAGCAGGGGGAGAGAGAGAGAGGUCCUCCAUCUGUUGGUUCACUCCUCAGUUGGCUGCAAAGGCCCGGGCUGAGCUGACAGAAGCCAGGAGCCUCCUCGCGGACUCACAUGAGGGUGCAGGGUUCCAAGGACUUGGGCCAUCUUCUACUGCCUUCCCAGGCCACUGCAUUGAGCUGGAUGAGAAGUGAAGCAGUUGGUUCUUGAACUGGCAUCCAUAUGGGAUGCUGGCACUGUAGGUGGUGGCUUUACCUGUUAUGCCACUUUAACAUACCCAGGUGUAAUUUAAAUGCAGUGACGUGCACAGAUCUGAGGUAUGGUUUGAUGAGUUUGAUAAAUGUGUGCAGCCAUGGAACCCACUCUUGCUCAGAUCCCAGUGAUGCCCAGGGCCUCUAAAGUGGCAGCUGUUCUAGAAUUGGGCCUGUGUGUGAUGAGGGACCUCCCUUAUUUGGGUCACUCCUCUUCAUCGUGGGAGGCUUUGUGGGGGUCAUAUAUGUUUCCUUGCUGCUUAGAAUGCUUGCUCUUCCUGGCCUUGGAGGGUGCUAAGUUGUACCAUUAAGCACAAUGUUUCUCCUAAGUUUCAGAAUUUUGAUGGCCCCAGAACAUCUCCUCUUGUCCAUUUCCAGUCCAUUGAGGUGCUUCAGAAAGGUUCUUGAAGCAUUAGAUAAUUAAAAUAUAAUUUUAUUUUGAUGCACUACAACUUUGUAAUUUCCGAAUUAUUUCUCCAUUGUGCUCAUCUUGAACAUUGUGAAGUGGGUUUUGCCUGUUGUGAAGCUUCCCCAAAUGGAACGUUGUUUCCAGAGCCUGUGGCUCAGCAUCCACGAUGCUGCACAGAUCACUGAGCACUCCCCUUUAUAGCCAAACACCCACUGGGCAUGAGUAGAACCAUGCUGUUUACCCCUUCUUCUUCUGCUCUUAUUUUUUCUAAAGAUUUAUUUAUUUGAAAGGCAGUGUUACAGAGAGGCAGAGGCAGAGAGAGAGAGGUCUUCCAUCCCUGGUUCACUCCCCAAAUGGCCACAAUGGUAGGAAUUGGGCUGAUGUGAAGCCAAGAGCUUCUUCCUGGUCACCCACGGGGGUGCAGGGACCCAAGGACUUGGGCCAUCUUCUGUUUCUUUCCCAGGCCAUAGCAGAGUGCUGAAUGGGAAGAGGUCAGCAGUGUGGGAUGCCUGUGUCACAGGCAGCGGCUUAGCACCCUAUGCCACAGCGUCGGCCCCAUUACCCACUAUUGGGUAUUCUAUUGGCCAUUCGCAUCAUUUCUAGUUUUUGGCUGUUACAAGCAAAGCUGCUGUGAAGUGUGUUCUUGUCCCAGUCUGUGGACGCAUAUUUUCAUUGUUCUAGAGGAAACAUACCUAGCUGUGCAAUAGUAGCUUCUGAAGGGAGUGUAUGCUUACCUGGCGAAGAACUUGCCAAAGGAUUUUACAAUGUUUGCACCAUUUUACACUCUGUCCAGCCAUUGCUUGCUAAUUCCAGCUUCUCGCCCUCCUCCGCAUUCACUGCCGUCAGUCUUUCUUCACAUUAAGGAUUUUAGGGUGUAGGUGUACCCCACGUGGUCUUCAUUUGUGUGUUCCCUAUGACUAUUCAUGGUGAGCACUUUUUCUCAUGCUUCUUGUCUGUUCACAACAGCACUCCAUCAUGUAAUGUCCAAGACAUUGCUCAUUUUUUAAAUUUUUAGAAUUUUGAAGAUUUAAUUGAUGUAACACUUAUCUUUGUGGGGUAUGGUAUUGUAAUUUAUUUUUUUUACAUAUAUUUAUUUGACAGGUAGUGUUAUAGACAGUGAGAGAGAGAGACAGAGAGAAAGGUCUUCCUUCCAUUGAUUCACUCCCCAGAUAGCUGUUAAGGUUGGCGUUGCGCCGAUCCGAAGCCAGGAGCCAGGCGUUCUUCCUGGUCUCUCAUUCGGGUGCAGGGGCCCAAGGACUUAGACCAUCCUCCACUGCCCUCCUGGGCCACAGCAGAGAGCUGGACUGGAAGAAGAGCAACCGGGACUAGAACCGAUGCCUAUGAGUGAUGCCUGCACCACCGACGGAGGAUUAACCAAGUGAGCCAUGGCACUAGCCCCGGUAUUGUGAUUUCGUAGUUGUAUACAGUUGUCAUGAUCAAUCAGGGUAAUGAACACGUCCAUCUCUUAUAUUUCUGUAUAUCAGAGCCUCGGCGCUCCUGUCUUCCAGGUCUUCUCAGAAACAUGGUGGGUUUCUGUGCGCAGUGAUGCUCCCUGUGCUUUAGGAUGCUGGGAAUGUGUCAGAUUGUAACUUUGGUGGGUGUCACUCAGCCUUCCCCGCCCUCUCCCGCCUACCCUUCCCAGCAGGCAGUAUUCACUGCUUGCCUGUUGAAGGCCGUCUGGGCCUUUCCUGGCUUUGAAGAUCACGUGUAAAGCACUGUGAAUUGUAACAGCUAGUUUUUCUGUGACUGUGGUUUCAUUUCCCUUGAGUAAAUGUAUAGGGAUGGAAUUGCAGGGUCGCCUGCUCACGGGAUGUUUCACUUUAAGGAAAUGGUCAAAGCAUAGAGGAGGGGGAAGCUCUUCCAUCCACUGGUUCACGCCCCAGUGGCUGCAACAACUGGAACAUGGUCAUCUGAAGCCAGGAUCCAGGAGCUGCUUCUGUGUUUCCUGUGUGAGUGCAGGGGUCCUAACACUUGUGUCACCUUCCACUGCUUUCCCAACCAUAAGCAGAGAGCUGGAUCAGAAGUGCAGAGCCAGGACGUGAACCGCACCCACAGGGGAUGCCGGCACCACAGGCGGGGGCUUUGCCUACUACCCCACAGUGCUGGUCCUGGUCAAAGCCCUUUGUAGACCUGCUGCUUGGAGCAGGUGUUUGAUUAGUGGGUAGAAUGGUGCUUAUGAUACCUGCAUCCUAAAUCAAAGUGCUUGGUUUUGAGUUUCAGUUCCACUUCCAUUCCAACUUCCUGCUUAUUCCCACCCUGGGAGGCACAAGUGAUGGCUCGAGUAGGUGAUUCCCUGCUACUGUAGCGUGGCAGAUUAAGGUUUGUGGGUGAUCCUGUGCCUGGCCAGGACGCUGCCUGCCCAGCCCAUGCAGGAGGUUAACCUGACUGCUGGCAGGUGGAAGGAGCCCCAGGCACAUUUCCCUCAGCCCUGCCUUCUGUUGAAGAGCCUUGUGAUUGCCAAUCUGGUAGAUGGCUCCCACGUGUGGCCCAGGCCCAUCAGGAAGGCUACCUAGGCUUCGUGAUCUUCAAGCUAAAUGGAGGAGCGCAUUCUGCCAACAUCAGCUUUAUCGUAUAGAAUUAGUGUUGCCCUGAGUUAGCUAUGCCCCCUCUGCCUGCCCUUUAAAAGCUUAUGCUUGGUCGUUUACAUGGACACAUUCACCAAACUUGUCUCUGGUGAUUCUUGUCGAAGAACGCAGUCGUCCCACCAUCCCGGCAGUGCAGGCCUCACAGGAUGAGUCCACACAGAUUGAAUUCCCAGUUUCUAGAUUCCCCCUGGUCCUACCUCAGCUGUUUGGAGCCUCUGGGUAGUGAAGCAGCAGUGUGGAGGCCUUUCUGUCUCUCUGAUUUCUGCCUUUGAAAUAAGUAAGUACAAAUUAACAGAAAUAGUAAGUGUUGCACUUGGAAUGUGUGGGUGUUUUAGUUGCUCUAUACUCUCCCCAGGAUUUUGCUAUCAUUUUCCUUCUUGUCAGUAUUAACCAUUGUAAUGGGUUGUUGUAUCUCACUGUUAUAGGAAUUCAGGUUUCCCUACUGAGGAAUACCGUGGAGCAUCUCUUCAGCACUGUUUCUGGUUGCAGAGAACAGAGUAGACAGCACAGAGAGUCCUCUUGUAUCGUCCCCAAGUUUCAGUGUGUCCCCCAUCGAAUUAACAUCUUGCUUGAGUGUGACAUAUUGGUUCAAUUGUUGAUCCACUGUGGAGAUACAGCAGUAUUAUUAGCCCCACCACAGCUGGAGCAGGCUGAAGCCAAUAGUGGGAGCCAGAAGAGAAUCCAGGUGUCCUCCAAAGUAGCAGGAACUCAGUCAUUUGAGCCAUCACCAGUGCCCCCCAGGGCCUGCAUGAACAGGAACCGGAAGUCAGGAGCCUGAGUCGGUGUCAGACCCUGUGCUGCAAUCUGGGAUGCAGGCAUCUGAACUGGUGUGUCCCCUGCCAGGCUGACCACCUGCCCCUCGUGUUCUGUCUACACAGUGAGAGAGAUCAAGUUCAUCCUUCCCUGGGUGUUGACGUGUGCUUCACAGCCGUGGAGGUGGUCAGCGUGAAUGUUCUGUGUGGGCCUGAGCAGAGUGUGGAUUCUGUUGUUGUUGGAUGGAGCAUUUUCUCCAUGCCCAGUAGAUGCACAGGUGAUUGAUGUAGAUGCAGGAGAGUACUUCAGAAAGCCACAGGAAAGUGAAAUGGAAAGAUAAUUUUAUUUUGGAGGAAAUGAAGAGAUAUGUGUAUUGUGGAAGAAAAGAACUUUAUGUCACGAGGCCAGCAGAAAUGUCAUCAGCAGGCUGAGGAGAGGAGGAUGUGGCGUGACCCCUGUCAGAACCUGUGGCUGGGACAGAGCUUCGACAGGCAUGGAACCCUGGAAGACAGUGUCAUCUCUGCGCUUCAUCUUUCUGGAGACGUGGCUGUCAGGCACUUCUGUGACCUCCGUGUUCCAGGUCAGUGUCAGUGUGGAUACCUAGAGGAAAACCGCACUGGGGGCCAGAAGCCGAUUCCCCUGAGGGACCGGGUGAUCACCUGCCUGCCCCUCCUCCAUUGGGCACCUCUGACAGCUUGGAUGCUAGAGGUGGCUGUGUGUGAGUUUCCGAGUCUCUGCUCCCAGGGCGUGUCCCUGAUGGGGCGGAUUCUCUCCCAGGGAAUGUGUGUGCAGCCUCCGUGUUUGAGGUGGAUUUCACCAAGGCCUUUGCACCUAGCACCACGUGUGGUGGUUCUUCCAGCAGCCGGCUGCUUCCCAUUGGUGCUCCAUGGAAGCCACCUGGCCCAGCUGCUCUCAGGUCCAUGGUCGGCUGCUACCUCUGCCUGAGCCUCGGGCUCUGGGCUGAAGCAGCGUGCGAAGUGGAAAAUCUCGUGGACUUGUUUCUCUGAUCCAGCAUAGAGACCUUUUAAGGUGAGUGAGGAAGACUUCUAGUUUCCUUUUGUGAUUCUUCCCUGUCAGCCUGUGCCAUGCCAUUCUUCUUUGCAUAUUGCUCUCAUGCUGGGAGUUCUACUACUGCUGUGGAUUGCUUAGCACUUUUCUGAAUGUGAGCUCAUGCUAGGGGAGAACAGGGGUGAUUCUGCCUCUCCCAGGAUGGUUGCUUUUCAUUUCCAUUUUUGCCUGCAGUGGCACCUGCUGAAGACCAUUUUUUUGUUUCUAAUGUUUUUUAAAGAUUGAUUUAUUUGAAAGGCAGAGUUAAGACAGACAGAGUACUUCUAUUCACAGGUUCAUUCCAAAUGGCCACAGAGGCUACAGAGAUGGUCAAAGCCAGGAGCUUCAUGGAGGUCUCACACAUAGGGCAGGGCCCUAAAUACUUGGUCCAUCCUCGGCUGUUUCCCAGGAACAGUAGCAGGGACCAUCUGCUGGUCCAUUCCAUAAGUGGCCGCAACAGUCCGCAAUAGCCGGACCAAUCUGAAGUCAGGAGCCAGGAGCCUCCCCAGGUCCCCCACAGGAAUACAAGGACCCAAGCACCUGAGCCAUCCUCCACUGCCCUCCAGGGCAAGGAGGGAGCUGGAUUGGAAGCAGAACAGCCAGGACUGGAACCGGUGCCCACAUGGGAUGCUGGCACCACAGGCGGCAGCUUUACCCAUCAUGCCAGAAUGCUGGCCCCUAUUUGAUUUUAUGUUUUUAAGGCUAUUUGUGUAUUUGAAUUCAGAGCUACAGAUUGGAUUGUGUGUGUGUAUGUGUGCGUGUGUGUUCGUGAGACACAGCCCUGGUUAUUGCAGACACUGGAGAGUGAAGUAGUGGAUAUAAGUGUGUUGUGUGUGUUGUGUGUGUGUGUGUGUGUGGUGUGGUGAGCCUUUCAGAUGAAAAGAAAUAAGGAAAUAGAGAGAAGUUUAUUUGGUAUGAAAAAUUUUGAAUUCCAUGCACAGGUGUUCAUUUAUUUUUUUUAAAAGAUUUAUUUACUUCUUUGGAAGGCCAAGUCUUGACCUGCUGGUUCCCUCUCCAAAUGGCCACAGAGGCUGGAGUCUUCCAGGUCCCAUGCGGGUGCAGGGGCCCAGGUGGGUGGAGGCAGCCAUUGUGUGUGCUGGGUCUCAGCGCAGGCCACAGCGCCCUCACCACACCGAGGCCACUGGCUUCCUGGGUGCUCCAUGGGAACUGCAGGGGGCAUCGUGGGUGGAGCAGGGCGCUGGGCGGCGGCUCCCACGGGUGGGCCUUGCACUGAAGGCCUGAGGCAGCAUUGAAGCAAAGGCCUUCGCGGGCCUAUGUCCAGCAAGCACAACGGGGCUCCCUGUGGUGAGUGAGGGGGUGUCCCGGGUUCCUGCUGGGGGCUUCCCUGCUGGCUUGGGCCAGGCCUCUGCACCUUGCCUGUUGCUCUGGGGUCCUGCAGGGAGCAGGGCGUGGGCGGAGUCGCAGUGGUGCUGUGCGGACCCUGGAACUUUGCCCAGUGUGUGAGCAGCUGUGGAGAGCAGAGGUGGCUCUGCCUGCUCCCGGAACGGCCCGUGUUCCCCUUUGUGUCCUUGUUGAUGGCCCAGCCACCCUGCUCUAGACCUCUGAGCCCCCUGACCCAGGAGUAGGAGCGAACAUGCUUGUCUGUUUCCUGGGCUCCGAGGAUGGUUUCUGGUUACUGCAUUCAGUGUGAUGCCGCGCUGUGUGCAUUUUUCAUGAAAGAUCGUUGUCCGGCCGAGGUUGGCCUUUGUUCCUAAUUUGGUGAUUUCUUUAAUAUCUCAAAGGUAAUUAAGUUUAUGCAAAAUAGGUUGCUGUGUCUAUAGGGGUGCUUUGUAGGCUUUUCCCAUGUUUAUUCUGUUCUGUGAUAUAUUGAUUUUUAUAUGGUAGCCAUCCUUGCAUUACUGAAGUAAUUCCCAGAUGCACAGAGUGUGCGAACCUUUUGUUGGGCUUCUGGAUAGGGUUUGGUAACCUUUUGUUGAGGCAUGGGACACAUUCAUAACAGAUAUUUGUGUGCCAUUUUCUUUAUGAUCUGUUUGUGUUGGCUGUUGGGCUAAUGCUGGUCUGAUGGAAUAAAAUGGAAUGUUUUUCCUAUUUGUCUCCUUUUUGGGAGAGUUUGCGAAUCAAGGACUUCAAUUAUCCUUUAAAUGUGUGUUUUCGCCUUUGGAGCCAUCUGGUCCUGGACUUUUCUUCAUGGUUUUUUUGUUUUUCUGAUACAGCAAUCUCUUUUCAAAUUAUAAGUAUAUUCAGAGUUUUUAGUUUUACUGGAGUCAGUUUUAGCAGUUUGUGUCUUUCUGAAUCAGUCUAUUAUAUCUAUGUUGACCAUAGAUCAUAGACCAUCCAGGUGCCCAACAGGAAGAUUUGCUUCCUCCUCCUGAUGGUGGUCUAUGUCUUUCUUCAAAACCUCCCUGGAUCAAUGGAGUUUAACAGUUAAUGUGUAUUUCCCAUGAACUCUCUGAAGACCCCUCACACCUGACUCAGUGUUGUCCACUGUCUGGUUCAACCACUGUGGGUUGUGGGCAUUGCCCAGGUGAAAGCUGGCAAACUUGUCUUCUCACAACCCUUGCCUCGGGAGGUGCAUUUUGGUUUUUCAAGAACUUUCCAGACUUGAUCAGGUAGCAGUGGGUGGUGUAAGUUGGUAACUAUCCGUUCUCAGAAGGAGAGGCUAAGGUCUCCUUGUGGUCUUCCUUUGAAACUUUAUGCAGAAGUCAUUUCCUAGUCAGAAAGAUGGCUAGGAACAUAAUGCCACAUCUGGGUUCUGUGGGACUAGCACACUUGUAUGCAAUAUGGUGUCAAUGUUCUUCUCUGAAAACGUACCUGAUCUCUCAUAGGUUUUACUAUUUACUAAAAUAGUCAGAGGAGGAUGGGUUUGGGGUAUAGAGACACACUCAGUUUUUUCAGAUACCUUUGCUGUGUCUCUAAAGGCCUGUGUGUGUGUCCUUAUUCUGUUUAUUACAUUGAUUGCCCUUUCGUGUUUACCAUCCUUGAAUUCCUGGAAUUAUGCUCAGUUAAUCAGAGUGUGUAAACCUUUUAUUAUGCUAGAUUCCAUUUGCUGAUCAUUUUUGUAUAUUCACAGGUGAUACUUGUUUGUAGUUUUCUGUAUGAUGUAGUUUUAUUUUCACAUCAGGCUCAUACUGGUGCCCUGACAUCAAAUGGCAGGCACUUCUUCUUCAUCGGCAUCGAGAGGGUUUCUGAAUUCUGGUUUUAAUCAUCCUUGAUAUGUGUUGGCUAUCCCACCAGUGAAGCCAUUGGGCCCUGCACAUUUCUUCAUGGGAUUUCUUUCUUACUACUUCAAUCUGUUUGAGUACAAUAUGAUCAGAUUUCCUAUUUUUACAUGAGUGACAUUUGGCACUUUGUGUGUUUACAGAAAAUCAUCCACUUUAUCAAUGUUGUCUAAAGAACUGGCUUAUGAUUUUCCAUAGAGUUCCCCGAUCCUUUUUGUGAGGUGAGUAGUGAUGUCUGCUUCUUUAUUUCUGAUCUGAAAUAACUUGCGUCUUUCCUUUUCUUUUGUCUUCUCUAGAGAAUAGUUUGUCAUUUUCACUGAUCCUUGCAGAAAUCAGCUUGUGGUUCAUGGAAUUUUGGUCAUGUGUUUUCUCUAUUCAGAUUGAUUGAUUGCAGUUCUUAUCUUUCUUUUACCUCCUUCCAUUACCCUUGGGGUUCUUCUGCUCUUCUAGUCUUUAAAGGUAAAAAUUUAUUGACUUGACAUCUGUAUUAUUUAAUAUAUACAUUUGUAUCUGUAAAGCUUCCUCUAGCAAUAUUGUCAAAUGAAACAUUGUAUGGAUAUUCCCUCCCCCCACAGCUGUCCCUAUGGUCCAGAUCUGUCCCAGAGCUCACGGGCACUCACUGCUGCUCUCCCAGCCCUGAGCCAGCCCCCUGGAGGGCACAGGUGAAUCUCAGGCAUUAGCUUCAGGGUGCUGUGCAGAUCUCUGCCUGGGGUGGGGGCUGUGGAGCCUCCAACACUCGUCAGAAACACAGAGAAGCCCUGCUGAAGCUGGGCUAUGCGGGUCACAAAACUGGAGCAGACAUGUUCCAAUCUAACACUUAAAUACAUAGGAACAAUUUAAUACACGUCAGCAUCAAGAAUAAAGGCCUAAAGGUUCUCCUUGAUGGUGGGGGUGGGAACAGUCCAGUGGCUCCUGGCUCUGUGCUGUCAUCUUCAAGCUUUGGGGAUGUCCACAGCAGUCCUGACACCCCUCUGCCCUGAAACAGGAAGAGGAUGGGGAGGGCCACUGGGUGGGUGGGGGGCUGAAUCCAGUGUAGAGGACUCUGUGUAGAGAACGGCAGGCUGCUGCCCAGCCUGGGCAGGACACAUGGUGGGCUCAGCCUCUUCCAGGAGGCACCCAUAAUCCAGGUGUCCCGUGGAAUAGGAGGCACGGAGGCCUUGAGCCAGGGAGGGCACUGGGCCUGGUCUCCAAGCACAGGGCUGGCUCUGGCCGGCUCCAGCCUGUGACUGUACCCAGAGUGUGUGGGGCUGCCGUACAGGUAGGGAGUCCUCAGCCGUGGCCCCCAGGCUAGGACGGCCUGCAUGGGCCCUGGUUCCGGGGGCUCUGAGGCCCGUGGAGGAGCCCACAUCCAGAGGCCUUCCUGGCUGCCAGCAUCGAAAGACUCCUCAUCUUCCGUGUGUUGGGGCAUUUUCAGAUUUGGGAGACUCACACACUGGCACAGCCCUCCCCUCCCCCACGAGCUCUCGGGAGUCUCAGAGGGACUGGCCACACGUGGAGACUGUGAGUUCCCCACAGGGGAGCUUCCUCUCUGGGUGGGAAGCUAGAGCCCUGGUCUGCUCCCACAGUGCCCGCAUGUCCUCCCCGGUGAUCUUGGCCACCAGGGCUGUGGGAGCAGGAAUGUGCUUCUGGGGAUUGCGUGUCUGCCCCAGGGGCCUGCUGCAAUGUUUAUUUCCUUUUCUGGAAGAACAGGCGUGGUUUGCUUCUCCACAGCUUCCAUCUGGCCUGCAGACUGCCUGCCCUGACGUCACCCUGGGGUCCCCAUCACCCCAUGUGAUGCUGAGGACUCUUGUAGGCUGAUGACCACAGAGGGAAAGGUGUGAGCAGCCUGGGGACCCCUCCGGCUGCUCCCGCACAGCCCCCACAGGUGUGGUGGGGCCCUGACCUCCCUGCCUCACUCUCUCAUCUCUGGGGACCACUGGGAGCAACUCAGGACCCUGUGCUGUUCCCAACACCUGCUCCACCUGACGUCCCUGUGCCCUGACACAGGACCACCCUAAGGACAGGUAUCUGUACCCCUCCUAAAUGGCUGAGGUGGUGGUGGUGAGAGCUGGGGCUCUGGGGCAGACUUGGAGUCUGGGCCAGGCCCUCGGGGACAGGGAGUGCUGAUUAUAAAGAGGUGGCAGGGCUGCCAUGGGGCCUCACCAGUGCUUGAACAGCCUGCCCCUGGGCCCCCACUGCCAGCCUCUAGAGCUGGGAAAACCCAUCUCUGCUCUGCAUGGGGACCCAGGUGCUCAGGUCCUUGAUGGCAGCAGCAGGGGACUAGCAUGGGGACCCCUCCCCACCAGAGCCCACCAGGAGCAAUGCUGUGGAUUCUGCUGCUCUCUGUAGGCCCCAGGCUAGGAAUGCAAAUCUCAAACAGCUACACUCUGGGUUCUGCCCUAGGGGCCCCCAGUGCCUGCCUCUGCACCUGCUCUGCUCACAGGAGUGGACCCGGCCCCCAUAACUGGGCUCAGGGCACCAGGGGUCCUCAGAUGGCUGAAGGGGAUCCAGUGCCAGCUGGCUUUGGCCUUUACUGCACAGGGUCUCUCACAGCCCCACCUCCCUCUAGCCCUGCCCACAUGCAGGUAGGACCCUCCCACCACUGUGCUAGGAGAGUCCUGUGUGCAGACAGCUGUGGUCAUAGUGCCAGGAGCCUGCGUGGGGUCAGUCUGUGAGAGGCCCCCUGGGCAGGCAGGGCUGCUUCUGAUCUUGCUGGAGUGGGGGUCCAGCUGUGCUCCGGGCUCCUGGGGACAGUGAGCCAGGACACCUGCUCCAGACUUGGGCGGGGAAGCUAAAGGCAGGGCCUCGACUCUACCCCAGAGUGGAGGUCAGCCAAGGAGCCAAAGCCACAAGCAGGGCCUAAGGACAGCUCCACAGCCCAGCCCCUGAAUCAUGGGGGGAGAGUAGCCCCCUUGGACACCCAUGGAUGUCAUGCCUUGCACUGGAGGACCAGGGGCCGCUUUCCCUGGGCAGUGACCCUGGCCAUCCCAAUCUGUGCACUGUGUGUUGCUGGGGUUGGGAGUGUAACAGGGGUUUCUCAGUGCCCUCCCCAAGUAGACCCAGGACUCAGAAACUUCCUAGUCCCUCCCAUAAGUCCAUCUCACCACAGCCAGGCAGCUCCUUCAUCCCUGCACCCUGGCCUCGGUGGGCUCUGAGGACUUACUGUGAUGGACCUUGAGAGUUGUAUAGGUCAUGGUGGUGAGCACGUGCUCACUCUCAAGGAUAUAGAUGUCCUACAUCCUCAGAACCAGGGAGAAAGGCGCCUGGAGGACAGCAGGCAUUGGAGGACCCCACGCGUCAGGGCCUCAGCAGGGCCCACAGGGGGUGGGUGUACAGUGGCACCCCCACCCACUCAGGGAACCACACCCAGAGUGAUGACCAUGUCCUGUCCUGGACCCUGGGCAUCUGCACACUUUGGAAGCCACACUGGAGAUGCCAGAUACCCCAGGGUCCUGGGGGAGGGGUCAGUCCUUGGGCUGUGCUGACACCAGCCUCUGCCACUGGGGGUCUAUGGGUCUCCUGCCUCUCACUGUAGGGCUCUGGCCUUUGCCAGGCUCUCAGGAUGGGUCCUGGUGGGACCUUUCCCCUCCUUGCUGGCCCUAAGGCUCAGCCUCAGCUUGGACCACCCUCAGCAGGGCAGGACCUGCCUGGUCUGCACAGCAGACUCCCUCCUGUGUCUGCUGGGGCUGGGGGAGCUCAGCCUUGUUCAGAGUCACAGGCCACCAGGACCAGAGAGCCAGGCACUGGGGCAGGGGCUUUCCUGGGCAAGGGGUCCCUGGGGCAUUUACCCCAUCCAGGAAGCACUGGAUGUACCAGUGGGUGGUGGAGUCCUCCAGGCACACACCCUCCUUCUCCUAAGAAGAGGCAGAGGGGGCUCAGGGCCCAGGGCCCAGGGCCCAGGGCCCAGGCCUCAGGCCUGACUCCCUCUAAUCUGAGCCCUGUGGCAGAGCCCCUGGGUGCAGGAAGCCCAGCAGCAGGUGCAUCCCCUCUCCCAGCCAUGCAGGUUCCUGAAGGGACACAGGUCCCUCAGUCCACUCUGCCCUGGGGACAGUGUCUCCCUGCAAUCUACGCAAACUCUGGGGGAACAAGUGCUGGAAAACAACCCAGCACCCAAUAUGCUGCAGACCCCAGUAACCAAGCAAAGCCUGGCCCAGGAGGGAGUCAGGACCCCUCUCUGACCUCUGCUCCCUGAGCACAGAGUCCCUCGAGAGGAGAAAGGAGAUGCUUUACUUACCCGGUUGUCUCCAGGGAGGGGAGCAUGCGAUGCACAAUAUCUCCCAGGUGUUGCUGGAAUCGCUCCAGUUUUGGGGUGUUUGGUUUGUAGAAACCUGAGUAGUAUCAGCCACACCCCCACGUUAGAGCCUCCUCCUAGGAAGGCUGGAGAGCCCAAGGCCGGGGUGGGGUGUACCUGAGCACUGAGGGUCAGGGGAGGCUCGGCCAGGGGCAGGUGGGAACGAACAUGGCCAGGGCAGAGGACCUGCUUGGGAGAUGGGUGCAGGUGGGUGACUGUGUACAGCCCAGGCCAGGCUGCCCCUGCAGCCCGCUGGGGUGGGUGCUGUCAAACUGGGUGCCUCCUGACCAUUCUGACACUCAGGAGUGAGGAGGGGGUGACCCCACAGGGGAUGCUGCCUUCUGCAAGUUCCCUGGGUGUGGCUCUGUGCUUGAGAGGAAGCAUAGAGUUUGUGAGUUAGAAGGGACACUCGGGACCUGUGUCAUAUGACCAAUGACAGGACCCCUUGUUCUGAAAGUUCCCACACACACGAUGGCCUUGGUUGGUUGCAAGGAUUUUGGGUUUUGGGGAGAGAAAGGGACUGGCUCAGUCUAGGAUUCCUCUGCCAGCCCUGGUUUCUAGGGAGCCCCACCACAGGGACAUUGUCCUGCACAUUCAGGAGCCAAUGAGGGCUGUAUAUGGACUUGCAUGCACUGGUCCCCACAUGCCAACCACCUACCAUGCAUCAUGUGCUUGCUGUUUUCCACGAGUUGGGCCAGGGCCCAGAAAGAGUCCCCUCGGUCAUGAACAUAAGCAAGAACCCCAACACAUGGCUGUAGCCCACCUCCUGCCAGACCCCAGAAUGCCUCUAGCUGACCUCCCCUGGCAAGAAUGAACUCUCCUGGGAUGGCCCACCUCUCAGGGAGACCAGGGUCACCCACUGAAGGGCCCAGGAAGAUUGAGGAGGCAGCCCCUCUGGCCGCCCCCUCAGCCUGAAUCCUGCCACUUGGUGUUGGCAUCCUAAGAAUUGGAGCCCACAUCUCAGUGUUCUUGGAGAAUCCUACAGGGCCUGAGCUCAUGCAGCACAGGGGGGAGACCAGAAGCAAGGACACCUUGCACCCCCAAGAUGUCAGGAUGGGCCAGGCUGCUGUAAGAAUCCAGGCUCCACACCCAUGGUAGCUGCUGGAUCCGUGAGCUCCACAGGUGACCUGUUGGCACUUUCUCACAUGAGGGAGAAGUAAGCCAGGAAGUGCACCAGGCCAGGGCCGGAACAGGGAAGUGUGCCUCUGUCAUGGGUGCAGGCAGUGCCAGGCCCCAGGGCUCCAGGCAAAGUUGGUCAGUGGCAGGUCAGCGGGAUGGGGAUGCCCAGGCCUUGGUGGGUCACCCAUGGAGUCCUGCACCUGCUCACCUCAUUGGAAAGGUCUGAGUGGGUGGUUGUGGCAGUGGCAUGGUGUGGAGUGGGAUUCGGGCCCUUGGCACCUGCCACAUAUCUGACAGGUGCAAUGGCAUCAGCAGGACGCAUCUCUACUAUCUUUUCCACAGCGUAGUCACAGGGCUCAUCUCCAUCCCCACCCCGACCUGUGGGGCACUAGUCCUGGGAGGAGCAUCCCAACACUGCCAAGCUCCUGGGGACUGUUGGGGUAGGACCUGGGACAUGAUCCCAGAAUACUCACCAGGUUGUAUACCGAAUUGGCCAUUAGGUUUCAAAUAAGGCGCAUUGCCCCCUUGAGCUGAGUGCAGAGCCGUACCGUGUGCUUGCCUGGAUUCUGGGCCUUCUUCUUCUCCACCUCCAGCAUCAUGGCCCACAUCUUCCCGCGCACCUGAGCAUGGAUGCCCUUGUAGAUUCUCUGCUGAAACUACAGGAGAGAGGAGGCUCUGGUGAGUGGUGAACGUGGCCACUCGGGGAGGGAGCGCAGGGUGAGACAGCAGGAGGGAGAAGCCAGGGGCUCCGUGAGUAUUGGCAGAGGGAGGAUCUGCCCAGAUGGGGGCCUUAUGACCCACAGUGACUGGGGGCCAAGGGCUCAGGGGCACUGGCUCCACCGUGCACUGCCAGCCCCCUAUAGGGCUCCUGGAACCACACCUGCCCUGCAUGCGGGAUUGUCUUCAGCAGUGACUUCAGAUUUUCUACCAAGACAGUGUCUUGCGUGUAUGGGGAAGGGGUGCACAUGACCUGUGUCCCUGGGGGCUGGACAGUUGCCCCUGGGCAUCUGAGAGGCAGGCGGUGCCUGGCACGGGAAUGGGCACUGCUCAAACCCCAACUCAGCUGUCAGUGUUCCCGAGGGGCCCUCAGCUCCACGGUACCUUCUCGCUGCCAUGGUAUUUGGAGUGGUUUUUCAUCAUUUUGAUCCAUUUCUGGAUCCUGCGCACCUGUUUAUGCUGGAAAAUGAGACAGGAUGGCAUGAGCCCAGAUGCAGGUUUCUGACAGUGGCUCUCGGAUGCAGCUCCGGAGCUCUGUGUGUGCUCAAAGGAAGGAGCCAGAAAAGGCACAGACCGUGAGCCCCAGGUCUUCUGUCUGAGGGAGUGUUGGUGGCCUGGCCUCUGACCCGAGCUGCCCCACCCCAAUAGGCAGAGCCCCUGAGCUCCAGCCAGGUCACUCCCAACCAUGCCAAUGAGUCUUGGCAGCUGACAGGCAGACACCCCGAGCUGUGGCUCAGUUCUGGCACAGGUGAGUGUGUUAAGGUGUCAGCAGGUGCCCUGCAAGUACUGCAUCGCAGGACCUUAUGGCACUCCCACUAACCACUGCCAAGCCCCAUGUGCCCCCUCCACCCAGCUCUGCUUCCAGAUGACUGGCCCAUGGCCAAGGACUUGUCCUUACCUUUGCCCCUGGGAUGCUGUCUUGGGGCAAUUUCUGCUCACUGGAAAGCAAGGGAGAUGGAGAGGUGGUGUGGACAGGUCCCUGAUCAGACACUUCUGGCUCCCUAGUGGGCCAGGGAAGAACCAGUUUCAUUAUCUGUGGGUGAUUGUAUGCCUAGCUUGGAGAUUGUCUGCCUAGCCCAUGCAGGAGGUUAGCUGCAAAAGGUGUUCCAAGGAAUGAAGGCACUGUUAACAAAGUUCCAACUUCAGGAAUUCUUGAGGAAGGCAUUCAUGGAAGGAUCCUCUUCAGGUCAGUUAUAGCUUACAUGGAAGGGACUUCACCAGGUGCUACUGAGCACGCCCACCCCAGUGAGGUUAAGAUGAAAGUUCUACCUCUUAAGUCUUCUCAGGUGAAUUGCAAAAGACACAGCUGAUUAUUCCUGUAAGCCAAGUAGAGGCUUUGAGCAAAGAGAGUAAAGCUUUGACAGUCCUCACAUCAAGAGUGCUGCUGUCCCUUCAGACACCUGUGCCUGCCUCUCUCAAUUCUCUCUGGGAGCUGCUACUGACAUGCAAGUCCUCAUGUGUUUUUCUAUUGAAAUCUACGCUCAAGUGAAAUGGGUUUAUAAUCUAUCAGCACCCACUAUGUGGGAGUCUAUACGGUACAUUCUUUCCAUCUUAUGGGGCACUGGACUUUUGUUCACUUCUUGGUCCUGUUCCACUUCUGUUAUGCUACUUAACAAGCUUAUCUGUUUCAGAACUUAACUUCUGGGAGUAGCUGACCAUGCAGGGGACACAGACAUUGGCAGGGACCGAGACCGCUCCAGCUCACAAAGCAAACUUGUUGGAUGAGCUAGGCAGAGACUCCCAGCCCCAGCAAGGCAGGGCCUGCACUACGCCCCUCAUAAGCAGGAAGCAGCUAUAGAAGAUGUGAUGAUUCUACAGCCUUCAGCAUCCCUUAGGAUUAAGGGACUGGAGUCUCUGAAGGGGCUGUGAUGUAGGCGGGCAUAUAGGAUUAGGUUUGUGAGCUGGAAGACCACGCCCUCAUGCCCCUACCUGACCACAUCUGUACACCCACCUGCCAGUCAGACUAAGCUCUCCUCUUUGGAAGUGGAUUAAAGGCCUGGGACACGAUGGGCCUGGCGGAGUGAAAGGCUAUACUAUGGGCAGAGAUUUUGUCCAUAUAGACAGGGUGAUGUGGGUGAUUCUGCCCCUAGCUGGGGGAUUGCCUGCCCAGCCCAUGCAGGAGAUGAGCCUGACUGCUGGCAGGCAGCAGAAGCCACAGGCACAUUUCCCCCACCCUGGCCCUGUAAUUGCCUAUCAGGGAAAUACUUCCGGGUGUGGCCCAGGCCCAUCGGGAAGGCUCUAGUCCAUGUGACCUUCAAGCUGAUGGAGGAGCCUAGCAGGGCCAAUAUUGGCUCUAUCCUAUAGACUUAGUGUUGCCCUGAAUUAGCUACGCCCCUUCUGUCUGCCCUUUAAGAGGUGUGCCUGAUCAUUAAUAAAAUGGGUAUGUUCACUGAAACUUGCUUCUUGUCAAAGAAGGCCGUCGCCCCAUAUCCCACAAAGCCCGGGCCUCACAGGAUGAACCCGCAACCCUCAGCCCAGGGGACUGAGAUGGGAAGGGAGGGGCUGGUGACCAUGAGCACAGGGAGCCCAGGGCUAGGCAGGGGCCCUUGCUGUCAGUGGGGGCUCCAGGCCAUCAGAGGUCCGCCUUCCUGGGCGUGUGGCAGCACCCCCACAGCGGUUGGGGGAUUGCUGUCCUGAGCAGGGCCAGGCUGCCCAGGGCUGAGGGAGCAGUGUCCCCACACCAGCUCUCCCCAGGAAGUCACCCUGGAACUGACGAGGUCUGGGUGGCCUGCCUGAGAGAUGCUCAGUGCUGAGUGUGCACCUGGGGCUGAGGCACCUGGGACCACCACAUCCCCCAUGGCCCCUCCCCACCAACCCUCCCCCCGUGCAUUGGCUGUCUGAGGUUCCUGCUCCCCAGCUAACCCCUCCUCUGCCAGCCCACCAUCCCUCCACCACUCACCUUUCUCUCCAGGUUCUGGCACAACAUGGAGCCAGAACCCCCUAUCUCCAUGCUAAGGGGGGCUGCUGAGUCACACCAGAGAAGGCCUGAGAUGGCUCCAUCCCCCUUAGUGAUAAGAGCCCACCAUCCAGCCACGGGGCCUCUCUCCUAGACAUCUUUGGGAACAGCCUCCAAGUCUGCCACCUGCCCACAGGCCCCACUCCUCCCAGCACAGACCCAGGGGCAGGACCCUCAGCUACAACAACCCCCCACCCCUGUCUGAAUUUUGUGUGCCCACAGGCAGGUCCAGAGCCCUGGAUGUCACACCACUGGCCUUCCCUCAGGCUGGGUUUAAUAAGCCUUUAGCCUGGCCCCUGACCCAGGCACCUGCUGGACAACUGCCCCCCUGCUCGGGUGGUGCCCAGAUCCUGUGGACACAGCUCGAAUGCUGUUCACGCAAACGUGAACCAGCACAGGGAGCCCUCAGGAACUGCUGCCCAGAGGUCUGUCCCCCGAUCAGAAUGGGGACAGCCCCACAUCCAGGCAGGUGGGUACCUGGUGGCCAGUUCCCAGGAGUAUGACUCGUCGAGAGCACAGGGACUAGGGACAGCUGGGCAGGGAUAGCCCCUGGCUACCUCCCCUGCCCUCGGCAAGGAAGCUCCUCCCUGAGCCUGGCAUCCAUGUGUCCAAGGAGCACCACAGCCCAAGCCAAGGGAUCUCCAUGUACUACUUCCCCCUCCACAACUCUGGGGCUCCCCAUAGACAGCUCUCACUUCCUGUGCUGAUGCCCAGGAUGGCCUCAGUUCUGGGGCAGGGGUGCGGUCUGAAGUCUCUGCACACUGGGCAGAGCCGGCACAUGGUAAGGUCAGAAUCAAUAAGCAGCUGGGAACUCUGCCACUCCCAACAGGCUGGGAACGAGUUGUGCAGCCUCUGGCCAUGAAGACACUGAGGUCGACACACAGGCGUCCCCACACCAUGAGCUCCACAGGUAUCAAGGGCAUGGGAUGAGAUAGCAGGGCCAGAAGGGUGGCUGGGCUCUCAGCAAGGGCCUCCAACACCCAGGCCUCCUGCUAAUGAGAGUGGUUGUGGACUGCUCACCCAUUUUCAGGAGCAGGGAACCCUGUGUUCUAUCAGAAGGAGACAUGGCCACCUGGAUACCACAUGGAUGCCCUGAGCCUGGCCAGGCACUGAGGGACUUGGGACAGCGGCAUCCAGUCAGAGCUGGGCUCCUCUGUCCCUAUCUACUUUCCCCACCCUGGACACCUGCUUUUCAUAUCAACAGCCCUUCAUAUCUGCUGGAGGUGUCCUGGAGGCUCUGAGAUGCACAGGGCCAUCACAGCCUCAUGCCUGGGCCUGGGGACUCUGUCCCCCCUGGUGCCCAUGCUGCUGGCCCUGGGCCAGGAUGUCUGGGACCCUCUCCUGAGGUCUCUGCUGGCACAGAAAUGCCCAGGGGUCCUCAUCAUGACCUGGCCAUUCUGCACAGUGGUCAGCUCUGGUAGUGCCACAGUCUCAGCUGUUGGCGCAUUCUGUACCUAGGGCCGCCAUUUAGCUGCCCAUGCCCAGGACCAGCUGCUGAGGCCAAACCAUCUGUGGGGCUCCAGUUUCACCUCCUGCUUUGGGACCAAGACCUCCUCCUCCAUCAGGUCUUCCCUGAGCUUUCUGGUCAAGUGAUGGUGACCAGCAAACUCUGGAGUCAGGUGUUUUGGAAGGGCAAUCCUAUGUCUAUGUGUGCAUAUUUCUGUACUCACGUGUGCAUGUAUAUACCUAACUGUUUAUUUAUUACUCCUGGCAAAAAAGUUGUUAAUACCAGCAUUCUUGUAAUACAUUUUUAAAGAUACCAUAUGUAACUCUUUAAUAUACAUUACAAAUCCUUAAUUUUAGAAAUAUCCAACUGUCUAAAUAUCCAAAGAAUCCCACCUUCCAGUAUAAAAAUUAAUCAGUUUCUUCUAUUAUAUUUGUAAGGAAGAAGAAAAUGAAUGGGUACCAAAAUGUUUUCUAAGACUGAGUUAAAUUCUUUUUAAAAGUCUGUGUUAACAGUGUAUGUUAUGUUUAUAUUAUCAAAUUUUAAAUACACUCUAUAAUGGGCCUUGAUGUAGUAUUUCAUAUAUAGCUAUAUCUUCCUUUUUUAUUUUUUUACCUUUUUAAAAAGGCUUUAAUUAUUGAUUUGAAACUCAGAGUUAUACAGAGAGAGGUGGAGUGGCAGAGAGAGAGAGGUCUUCCAUCUGCUGGCCCAUUCCCAAUGGCUACAACAGCUGAAAGUGAGCAGAUUGAAAGCCAGGAGCCUCCUGGGCGUCUCCUGAGUAGGUGCAGGGGCCCAAGGACUUGGGCCAUCUUGUACUUCUUUCUCAGACAAGAGCAGAGAGCGGCAUCAGAAGUGGAGCACCAGGGACUCAAAGCGGCACCCAUAUGAGAUGCCGGCCCUGCAGGCGGGGGUUUACCUGCUACCCCACAGCCUGGACCCUCCCGAUGCCAUUCCCCUUGGGAUCCAGCUGUCUGCUCACAGCCUGGGAAAGCAGAGGAGACAGCCCCAGGACUUAGGCCCCUGACCCCACCCUGGAGUACUGGAUGAAGUGCCUGAUUCUGCUUUGGCCUGACCCAGCCCUGGCCUUUGUAGCCACCUGGGGGGGGGGGGGACCCAGACGGACGCCCUCUCAGAGAGAGAAAGAGGCUGGCGACAUCACGCACUGCUCCUCUGCCACGCGGCUGCCAUGGCCAGCGCUGGGCCAGGCAGAAGCCAGGCAGCAGGAGCUCCAUCAGGACUAGCACGAGGGAGGGAGGCUGUGUCCCAGGGACCUGGGCCCUCAGCGGCUCCUCCCUGGGUCACAGCCUGGAGCAAUGAGACUGGACAUGGGCCUGGGGCAUCAGACGCCUGAUGCGGCAGCACACAGAUGAGUUGUCACCUGGCACCAUGGUGGCCAACCAUGGGGAGGGAGCCUGCACCAGGCACUGGGACCCUAAGAAUGACCCAGUGCCACCAGGCUUAGGCCAGGAACAGGAGACGUUGUUCUGAAGUGUAACAUGUGUACAGGAAAACGGGCACAUUGCACUCAAAUGAAUAGACACACAAGCUGGUGAAUUUUUCAGAGACUCAGGACACAUGCUACAAGCAUUAAGAUGGAGGAAAAAGCAGAAACGGAGAAACCCAAGAAUCCCUCUGUGUUGGGGCCAGUGCUAUGGUGCUGUGGGUUAACACCCUGGCCUGAAGUGCCAGCAUCCCAUAUGGGCGCCG